rnacentral:lncRNA from 1 species
UUCCUCCAUCAUCAAACGAGCUUUAAGAUCACUUAUUACAGCCUCCAAACAAUUGACAUACUCUUCCUCAACAUGUGGAUCCGGUCUUCUGUAUCGUUGUUGUCUCUCAUAAUUAGAUCCUUCUCCCUCAACAAGUUGGAUGCCGUAGGUCUGCAUACUUUUGUUUAUAUCUUCAAUCUUAGAUCCGAUAGAUGUGAUCUGGGUUCCUAUACUGUGGAGAUAGGAAGCCUUAGUGAACAUGAAAAAAGCCUUGUUAAUGAACCCGCGUACACCUUCUCCUCUACCCCUUGCAACUUUAAGAAGAAAGGUAUCGAUGACAUCCUCAGAAUCAUAAGCGAGGUCUCUGAUUUCAGCUACCCAGUUGCGCACUCGCUCAUCUUCAUGAUGAUGACGGUCGGCAUCUUUCAAGAAGCAUUUCAUUCGCUUGAGUUCAGCUUGCAAUCGUUCAAGUUCACCCCGCACACCAUGCAGAAAAACUGCUUCUUGUAUGAGCAAAUCAGCAAUUCUUUGAAUAGCCUCAGAAACAACAGCCUCGGCCAUUCUUCUCGUUCCAGUGUCUUUUUUUUUUUUUUUGUUACCAAGAAGGGAAGAAUCGGAAGAGUUUGUUCUGCCUGAGAUAAGCAGUGUCUUUAACUCGUCAAAGGUCGUUAGCGGUGGUAAUUUAUUAUAGCAGAUUUCUGAUACUUUCCUUAAUGAAAGUUGCGGUUAGGGGUGAGCAUUCGGUCGGUUCGGUUCAAAACCGAACCGAACCGAAUAAACCGAAAACCGAAAUUUUAAUGUUUAUAAAACCGAACCGAACCGAUUUUGGUCAGAAACCGAAUCGAACCGAACCGGUCUGAUUCGGUUCGAUUCGGUUCUGUUUAAUCAGUUUCGAAUUUUAAUAAUUUUUUAUUUUUUAUAAUGAUUUAUUUUUUUUAGUAUUUUAAAAUUUAAUUAAAAUAUUUUAAUUUUAAUAUGAUUUAAUUUCUCUAUAUUAUUGAAAAAAUAUAUUAUUAUUACUAAUCGGUUCGGUUCGGUUUUUUCGGUUGUUUUCUGAUUAAAACCGAACCGAACCGAACCGAAAUCACCGAAAUUUUUGAAUUUAAAAACCGAACCGAAUUGAAAUAUAUAAAAAAUCAAACUAAAUUUUUAAAUCAAUUCGAUUCGAUCGAUUUUUUCGAUUGAACCGAAUACUGCUCAGCCCUAGUUACGGUGAAUAGACGCCAGCAAAGAUAAUUUCAAAAAAGAAAAAGAAAAAGCAAAGAUAAAUAUUCUUUGAGGAGUCAGUUGAGCAAUGAAUGGGGCCUCCGUUUUCCUGCUUUCUGCUUUUUUACUGUGACAAUAAUUAGAUUGGACAUAAAGGUGUCAGCUUUGAGAAUAAAGGUAUCAAUGAUGUCCUCUGCCUCGUAUGCGAUGUCUCUGAUUUCAGCUAUGCAAUUGCGAACGCGCUCAUCAUGGUCUUGCUUGCUAUCUGCAUCUUUCAAGAAGCACCGAAUCCGCUUCAGUUCAGUUUGCAACUGCUCAAUUCCCUGCCGCACGCCAUAAAGUGAGCUUGCUUCACGAACAACGGCAUCAGCAAUUCUUUCAAUGGCAAAGGUAACAAUAGCCUCAACCAUUGUGUUCUUUUUUUUUUUUUAAUAACCAAAGAGGUGAAAAAUAUCUCAACUUGUUUAGAUGAUACACUUUUGAUGGGUAUCUUUGCUUGAGGAAAUAAGGAAUUGCAUUUAGAACAUUUCAUUUUCUUCUUAAUCUUUCCCUAAUGUCUUCUGUGAUUAUUGAUUCUUUGCUAGGAACGAGAGCAAGAUACUAGGCUUUGGAGCAGAGCAAACCAAAAAUUAAAAGUGAAAAAGCAAUUAGCUUCCUCUUAUUUUUUGCUUAAAUAAAUAAUAGAUGAACAAUCUAAAGAUUCUCAACAUUUAAAGAGGUAAUAGAUGAACAAUGAAUAUAAUACAAAUUUUAAUAGUAAAGGAAGUAAUGAGAAGAAUUGGACUUUCAUUUACUAUAAAGAAAGCAGUAAUUUAUCUAUGUGAAUUAUUUUUUAUUUAUUUGUAAUUGACAAUUGAAACACUCUUUUUUAUCAAUUUUAUAAGUUCUUAUUUUUAUUUUAUGUGUUGAUCAAAUUAAUCAGAUAAUAGGAAUCAAUACAAUUAAUUGAUCAAAUUAAAAACUUUAAAGAUAAUAAUAAUUUUUCAUAUUACUUUAGACCAAUCCAAUCUGGUUCUUAGAAAAAUAAAAGGGUUAAGAUAUCAUGUAGUUUUCUUCUGCCCUUGUUAACUGAGUGAUAAAUCCAAGACAAUAAUGUUCAUACCCAAGAACAAAUUUAUUAUAUUAAACAAUGAGUUUGUUACAUGAUUUUCAGAAAGGGAAGAACAAGAAUUCUGCCUUGGAAGUGAUUUGUAGUUCAUUACAAGAAUUGUUCCUGUUUCCCCAAUGGCCUGGUUACAGAUAAAAUAAAGACAAAAAUUUUAAAGUUUCUGCCAAUUCAUUGUCAAAAUUCACUGAAGUUUAAACAGCUCCUCAAAUACACAACACAGAAAAUCAACAGCAUAUCACAUUUGUGGGAGCACAAUUGACAAGCGCUGCCAGAGAAUGAUCAAAAUCUUUUAUAACCAGCUUGCCUUCUAUAUCCCAAGCAUGCAACUGGACAGCUUCAACUAGGCCCCAUGUCUCACUAUUUGACUAAUCUCAGCACGUCACCCACAAGAUGUAAUGAGCCAGUAACAAGGACCUGAUGAAUCAUGAAGAAGAAGUUAAAUAUCUGAAUAUCAAGCAUAAACUAAUAUAAAUGCUGCUUAUAUGACAACACCUUAUUUGACUCAGAGCUGAAAGCAAUUCAUCAUCAAAUCCUCAGUCCUAGGUCAAUUUGCUAAGAGCAUAAUAGUACAUUAACAGCAAAGUUACUACUUCGUAUGCCCAAGUUCAGGGAAAGCUUGCAAGUGUUACAUGCUGCCUUAUUGAUGUGUCAACUUCAUAUACCAUCGGAUGAAUACCGAAGAAAACAACUGUGAUAUCUAACAAGGGUCUCACAGAAUAUAAAUAAAUGUGUUUUUUCCCACUUUUUGAAAUUAUCCAGUGAGUGGCCUGGCAAAUAUGUUGGAAAAAAUCAAAAGGGUCUGCUAGAAACAACAGCUUAUGAGCAGAAACAACAGCAAUGACACUGAUUAUUCAUGUCAAGUUAUUUGAUUAGAGGGUUCAUUAAAAAGGUGAAAUUCUUAUUACACAAUUGUCUGUUCCACAUAAAUCCCUAAAAUAACUUAUGCCACAAUACAAUAUGGGAAAUGAAAAAAGAAUUCACAAAUCAUAAAUUCAGUACGAGGAGUCCACUUCAACGAUAUUUUCAGAAAAUAAAUUUUUAUAUCGCAGGUUAUAUAAUAGAGCAGAUGCAUUAAUCAGCAUUACCUGAAUGCGAACAGAUCGAUUUUGAUAGACGCUGUCCCUGAGCCAUUUAAUAGCCAACGGAAGAGAAGGAAAGACUGCCAUGAUCAUUUAAUGCUGGCCCUCUGGAUUCUUGACAGGGUGAUUUGACCAGUGAUUUGGGCAAAUCACUUGGCCAGAUCACUUCUCCUUUGCAGUUGCUGGGCUGGUACUGUUCACGCCCUUUUCUGAUGAUGUGCUUGAUUUUGCGAUUGGACCGGUGAUCUUGGUCAAAUUAUCUGGGCAAUUGGGCAAAUCGGCAAAUCAUUGCCCCGAUCACUUGUGACUAUGGUACAUUCAGUCGAUUUGCCCAACGAUUUGGGCAAGCAGUGGGCAAAUCACUGGGCAAAUCACUACAUCUGGGCUGCCUCCCAGUAGCGCCCUGUUUUCUGUCUUGGGCUGGACUUCAGAAUAUUGUUCAGCAGUCUAAGGAAGGGGGAUCCAAAGGAACCUCCUCCACAACAUGGAUAGUAAAACCUUCAUAGAAUUUCUUCAAACGAUGCCCAUUAACUUUGAAAAUUUUGCUUGUUUGUGGACUCCGUAUGUCAAUAGCUCCAUGUGGAUAGACAUGCUCAACCAAGAAUGGUCCAAUCCAUCUAGACCGAAACUUUCCAGGGAAUAAUUUGAAUCUUGAAUCAAAAAGUAAGACCUUAUCACCAACCUGGAAGUGUUUUCUGGAGAUAUUUUUGUCAUGGAAGGCUUUGGUCUUUGAUUUGUAAUCCCAUGAAGCUUCAUAUGCAUCACGCCGAAUCUCCUCAAGCUCUUGAAUUUGCAAUUUUCUGUGAACUCCAGCCUCUUUUUCAUCAAGGUUACAUCUCUUCACAGCCCAAUAGGCUUUAUGUUCAAGUUCCACAGGUAGAUGGCAGGCUUUCCUAUAAAUCAGCCUAUAUGGAGACAUCCCAAUUGGAGUCUUAUAUGCUGUCCUAUAUGCCCAUAAGGCAUCAUUGAGGCGUGCACUCCAGUCCUUGCGAUUUGGGCAGAUCGUUUUCUCCAAGAUGGACUUGAUCUCCCUAUUUGACACUUCGGCCAGCCCAUUCGUUUGAGGGUGAUAGGCAGUGGAGGUUCUAUGGAUGACAUGGUGCUUCUUGAGGAGAGUUUCUACCACCUUGUUGCAAAAAUGGGUCCCUCGGUCACUGAUUAUGGCCUUGGGCAGACCAAAUCUUGAGAAAAUGUGGGAUUUUACAAAGUCACAAACUGUUUUAGCAUCAUCAGCCCUUGUUGCCUUGGCUUCAAUCCACUUGGACACAUAAUCCACAGCUAGGAUUAUGUAGGUGUUGCCAAAGGAAGGUGGAAAUGGCCCUAUGAAGUCAAUACCCCAUAUGUCAAAGAUUUCACACACCAUGAUGGGGGCUUGUGGCAUUUCACUGCGGUUGCCAAGGUUUCCCGUUUGUUGGCAUCUUGCACAUGACCUACAAAAUAAAUAAGAAUCUCUGAAGAUGUUAGGCCAAAAUAACCCACAUUCAAGUAUUUUCAAGGCUGUCUUGCGUGGCCCAAAGUGUCCUCCACAACUGUAAGAGUGGCAGAAAGUUAGGACAGAAGAAAUCUCAUGAUUUGGGAUGCAUCUCCUUAUGACUUGGUCUGCACAAUGCUUCUAUAGGUAAGGCUCAUCCCACACAUAAUACCUUGCAUCUUUCUUGAUCUUGUCUCUCAUGUGUUUGGGCAAAUCAGUGGGCAAAUUACCUGUGGCAAGGAAAUUAGCAAUAUCAGCAUACCAUGGUUCUUCUUCUUGGACAACAAAGAGGUGCUCAUCGGGGAAGGUCUCAUUGAUGGGGCAUGGCUCCAUUUCUGAAAAAAUUCUGCUGAGGUGGUCAGCCACAAGGUUCUCCUUUCUCUUCUUGUCAUGAAUCUCCAAGUCAAACUCUUGUAGCAACAAUAUCCAGCGUACUAGCCUUGGUUUGGACUCCUUUUUCUUGAUUAAAUACCUCAAUGCAGCAUGAUCUGAGUAUAUAAUCACCUUUGUCCCAAGUAGAUAGGACCAAAACUUCUCCAAUGCAAACACAACAGCCGGCAACUCUUUUUCCGUGGUUGAAUAAUUGCAUUGUGCAGCAUCUAGGGUGCGUGAGGCAUAGUGAAUGACAUGAGGAUUGUUUCCUUUUCGCUGUCCCAAUACUGCACCUACAGCAAAGUUGCUGGCAUCACACAUGAUCUCAAAUGGAAGUGUCCAAUCAGGUGGCUGGAUGACUGGGGCAGAAAUUAGCAGUGAUUUGAUCAAAUCAAAAGCUGUUUUGCAGCUGUCAUCAAAUUCAAAUGGGACAUCCUGCUGUAAUAACCUGCACAAAGGCUGUGUUAUCUUGGAGAAAUCCUUGAUGAACCUCCUGUAAAAACCAGCAUGUCCAAGGAAUGAUCUAAUCUCCCUAAUGCUGGUUGGAUAGGGCAGAUUUUUGAUGGUGUCAAUUUUGGCUUUGUCCACCUCAAUCCCUUUUGCUGAAACAAUAUGGCCCAAGAUUAAGCCAUGGCUGACCAUGAAGUGGCAUUUCUCGUAGUUGAGAACUAGAUUUGUCUCCAAACACCUCUGAAGUAUCUUCUCCAAGUUGGCUAGGCAUUCGUUGAAUGAGUUGCCAUACACCGUAAAGUCAUCCAUGAAGACUUUAAUAAUUUUCUCCACAUAAUCAGAAAAAAAUACUCAUCAUGCACCUUUGGAAAGUGGCUGGUGCAUUGCAAAGACCGAAGGGCAUCCUCCUAAAUGCAAAGGUGCCAAAUGGACAUGUAAAGGUGGUCUUUUCUUGAUCUUCAGGUGCAACGAGAAUUUGAUAAAAUCCCGAAUAUCCAUCUAGGAGGCAGUAAUGACUUUUUCCAGCAAGUCUUUCAAGCAUUUGAUCCAUAAAUGGCAAGGGAAAGUGGUCCUUCCUUGUGGCUGUGUUGAGCUUCCUAUAGUCCAUGCAAACUCUCCACCCAUUUUGCACACGAGUGGGUACUAACUCACCUUCAGAAUUGGGGACAAUAGUAAUCCCUGUCUUCUUUGGUACCACAUGGAUGGGACUCACCCAUUUGCUAUCAGAAAUGGGGUAGAUCACCCCAAUAUCUAAGAGUUUCACUAUCUCCUUCUUUACAACCUCCAUCAUUGGUGGAUUUAGCCUUCUUUGAGCCUCACGAACAGGUUUGCACUCAUCCUCCAUAAGUAUUCGAUGCAUGCAUGUUGAGGGUGAUAUGCCUUUGAUGUCCUCCAAGGUCCAACCAAUUGCUUUCUUGUGCUUCCUCAACACAUCAAGGAGCUUUUCCUCUUCUUCUUGGCUUAGCUGGUUGGAAAUAAUUACUGGAAGUGUAUUUCCAGCUCCCAAGUAGGCAUAUUUGAGGUGGCUGGGCAAUGGUUUCAGUUCUGGUGCAGUUGCUGUUUGUGCUGAUUUCUGCUGUUUGCUGUCUGAUUUGGGCUGUGAUUUGAGCAGAUUAUCUGGUGAACUGGGCAAAUGACUCUCUUUCAAGUCUGUCUGCUCCAGUGAUUUGGUCUGUGAUUUGAGCAGAUUAUCUGGUGAACUGGGCAAAUCACUGGGCAAAUCGCCCACAUCCAGCAAGUUACAGCAGUCUGCUGUUUUUUCUGCUUCAGUGAUGUUGCUGUCCAUUUCUCCUUUCCAGCAAAGACCAUCAUAAAGUAAAUUUUCUUGAUCAAAAUCAAAAAUUUCUUGGCUUAAAUCAUCAAUAACAUCAAGGCCAUAAAUGUAAUACCCGGCUAGACUCCGGUAUCGGAAUUCCUACCGUCCGGUGGAAUCUUGGAUGUCGGAAGUCUCUAGUAGGGUAGAAACAUGUUUUCAUAAAAUGUUUUAAGGUAUUUCAUGGUUUUAAGUAUGAAAUUAAAUGAGUUUUAUAUGAAAAGUUUUUGGAGGAAAAUCCAGGUUCGGCCGCCGAAAGUCAAGUUCGGCCGCCGAACAUGGCAUGCAUGCGGAGGCACAUUCGGCCCCCGAACGUGGCCUGGCCAACCACCUAUAAAAGGGUCCCUUAGGUCCGCACGGGCGAGCUUUUUCUCCCCCGUUGACGGCCAAGGUGAGUCUCCGCCACCCCUCCCUCGAUCUUGAGUGUUUUCCUUAAAUCUUCCAUGAUUUUCACGGGUUUUAACUUCUGUUUUGAAGAUCUGUGAGUAAAGAGCAAGUUUUGGGUACUUGGAGGUUCAAAGAGCUCAAUCUCUCUAUCUCCAAGCUAGGAUCGCCUUUCCUCUCGUUUCUUCAAGAGGUAAGCUCGGAUCCACCCUUGUUAUGUGUUUUAAACAAGCAUUAAGUUGUUUUAUGGGUAGAGAUGCAUGUUUAGGCUUGUUGAUGAGUUUGUGGGUUUUGAUGUUUUGAUACAAUGUAUGUUGAUUUUUGUGUGUUUGAAGUGUUGUAGUUGGGGUAUAUGCUAGUUUGAGACCCCUAGGUGUAAUGUAUGAUAUGUAUGCAUGUUUUAGAACUAGUUUAUGCAUGAUUUGAGGUUUUGGGAGGCAAGAGGUUCAUUUGAACCAAGUUUCUGCCCAUUUGGGAGAAACCAGGUUCGGCAGCCGAAGGAACUUUCGGCCGCCGAACCCCCUUGUGGAGGCAGCAUUCGGCUGCCGAAGCUUGCCCCCGAAAAGAGACUUUCGUCUCUGUCUGGGACUUUCGGCCGCCGAAGGUGCCGCCGAACAUGCAUGAGUUUCGCCUCUGUCUGGGAGUUUCGGCCGCCGAAGGUGCCGCCGAACCUGCCUGACUUUCGGGUCUGGAGGGACUUUCGGCCGCCGAACCUGCCGCCGAAAGUGCCCUGUCCAGCCAUUCUUGCAUGUUUUUAUGUAAUUGUUUUAUGAUGUUUUAGGGGGUUUUUUUUGGGGAAUAGUUUAGAGUUAUGUUCAGGUAUGUUUGGUCCCUCAUUGGAGUCCACCUGUGUAGGUUCGGACCCGAGGAACCGAGGACCCCAGCAGUGAGCCAGUUGCUACAGAGUUUGUCAGAGCUAGCCAGAGGUGAGUGGAAUAAACCUUAAGUUUUAAAUUAAAUGAAAUAUGAAUUUUGAGCAUGAUCCAUGCAUCAUGAAUGCCAUGAGAUAUAGUAGGUUGUUUGCAUUAGUAUUCACGAAUAUGUUGCAUUGCAUUUAUGAUGUUGAUGUGGAUUGGUUAUUGGAUGAUCCUUUAGUCCUCAUAUGGCAUGAUGAUGUUACGACAUAAUAUGGUAUGGAAGUCCAGGUUGUACCCAUUCUACGUCCCUGGCACGAUGUAAGAGAAAGUCCAGGUUGUACCCAUUCUACGUCCCUGGCACAGUUGGACUGUAUGAUAUGUUAUGUUAAGGGAAAGACCGGUUGUACCCAUUCUACGUCCCGGCACAGUUGGACAAUGUAGAGGACUAAUGGUGACAAUACCAUCCGAGAUGUGAUUUGUUGUGAUGUGUUGCAUUUCAUGAAAGCAUGAAAUUUUAAUAUAUGAUUUCACUAUUCUGCUCACUGGGCUUUGUAGCUCACCCCUCUCCCCUAACCCCAGAUGUGCAGGUAUAGGGUAGACCAGGAGGUUAGCCAGAGUUUUGAAGUAUGUUUAUGUAAUAGUUAGAUUGUGGACAUGACAAUUGUACUAUGAUGUAAUGUAAGAGAUUACAGUAUGUUAUGUAAUGAGGUCUAUUGAGAUUAUAGAUGUGCUUGACCCUAUGAGUAUUGUAAUCCCUUGUUGAUGCAUGAUCUUAGAUAGUUGAUGAUACAGAUGUUAGCCAACUCAACACAUGUAUAUCGCCCAUUGGGGCAUUGAUGAGAUCCCACUGAGGGGUCAAGUUUAUGAUUAUGUUAGUGCAUGCACAGGUUGAGUUUGGUGUAUGAGGAAUGAAUGAAAGAAAAGUUUAAAUUUUUAUGCAUGUUGUUGAUCAUGUAUGGGAUUAUACAGGUUUACAGGUUAUUGUCAGGCUUGCUACGGGUCCCGGCGGCCUUAAGCCGAUCUGGAUCCUAGCGCCGGUAGCGGUCCGAUUUUCGGGUCGUUACAAUAAACAGGAGAAACAUCAUUGGGGAAUUUCAUGGCAUCAUAAACAUUAAAUUUGAUAACUUCCCCUUCAAACUCCAUAGUUAAUGUGCCAUCAUGCACACCAAUUUUAGUUCUUGCUGUACUUAAGAAUGGUCUUCCAAGUAGGAUAUCAGAGGUGGUGUUGCUCUUGUCUUCCUCCAUGUCAAUAACAUAAAAAUCUGCUGGAAAGACUAAUUGGUCCACUUGCACCAACACAUCUUCUAGCACUCCUUUGGGGUAGACAACGGAUCGGUCAACUAAUUGGAUCACAAUGUUGGUGCUCUUGAGUGUACCUGCAUUUAAUAAAUUAAAAAUGGAAAGAGGCAUGACAUUUAUUGAAGCUCCAAGGUCACACAUGGCCUUCUUUAUCCCUACAUUGCCUAUUUUGCAUGAAACUGCGAACAUUCCUCUAUCCUUGCAUUUGGUUGGAAGUUUCCUUUGGAUGACAGCUGAAACACACUCCCCCACACUUACCUUUUCACGUUCAGCAAGUUUCCUUCGGUUGGUGCAUAGCUCUUUGAGAAACUUGACAUAUCUUGGGAUUUGCUUUACAGCAUCAAGUAGGGGAAUGUUGAUUUCCACCUUGCGGAGUAUCUCAAGUAUCUCUUUUUCUUCUUUCUCCUUUUGGGACCUUGCAAAUCUUUUGGGAAAGGGAGGUGGUACCUUGAAUUUUUCUGCUGGUUGCUAUUUCUGCCUUUGACUAGAUUCUGCCUGAUCUGUUGAUUUGGGCAGAUCACUUUCUGCCUUCUCUGGUGAUUUGGGCAGAUUGUUUGGUAGUCUGGGCAAAUCACUGGCAAAUCGCUGCCCUGAUCACUUUCUGGCAGAUUCUCAUCAGCAACCUGUUUCUGCAAUUUUUCAGACUUUCUGUCUUCCAGCUCUUUUCCACUCCUCAAUGUGAUGGCACUAGCAUUUUUUCUUGGAUUUAUCUCAGUUUGGGAAGGUAACUUCCCUUGAGACUCAUAUUUGCUGAUUGAAGUGGCCAUUUGGCUAACUUGUUUCUCAAGAUUUUGCACGGUAUUUGCUAAAUUCUUCACAAUCUCUUCAAGAGCUGCAUUGGAGUUCUGUGGUGCAGCUUGAGCUUGGUUCCUUUACUGGUAGCUUGGAUAUUGAUUUCCCCUUGCAUAACUGAAAUUUGGAUGGUCCCUCCAACCUGGAUUAUAUGUAUUUGAAUAGGGAUCAUACCUUCUUUGCCCAUUGAAACCUCCAACAGCAUUGACUUGCUGGUCCUCCUCUUGAAGGGAAGGACAUAGAUCAGUUGGGUGGUUGUUGGCACAUAUUCCACAUGUCUUGGGCUACUGUAUCUGCUGGACUUGUUGGGUUUGACCCACAACAAGGCUACGGACAGCAUUGGUGAGUUCAGAAAUUUGAGAUGCUAAAAUGGACGUACUCACCUCAUUUACCCUUCUUGAUGGCUGCUCUUGGUCUCCAAAUUGCUGAGAAGCUGCAGCCAUGGUGGAAAUUAAGUCCCUCAUCUCUCGAGGUGAUUUUCUUUCAAUUGAUCCUCCACAUGCUGCAUCAAUAAAUUUUCUCUCUGAGGGUAGUAAACCUCCAUAGAAGUACUCAAUGAGAGAUUGGUCAGAAAUAUCAUGUUGAGGGCAGCUUGUGCACAACUUUUUGAACCUCUCCCAGUACUCAUACAAGCCUUCAGAGUGCUUUUGCCUUAUGCCACUUAUCUCUCGACGGAUGCCUAUGGCUUUUGAGGUUGGGAAGAAUUUUCUCAAGAAUGCUCUUACCAUAUCAGCCCAUGAUGUGAUGGAUCCGAGUGACAAGUAGAAUAGCCAUUCCUUGGCAUAGUCGUCAAGGGAAAAAGGGAAGGCUCUAAGUUUGAUGUCCUCUUCUGGAAUACCAUCGGGUCUCAUGGUUGAGCACACAACAUGGAAUGCUUUCAAAUGCUUGUGAGGAUCUUCAUUCUCUAGGCCUCUGAAUUUGGGAAGGAGAUGGAUCAGACCUGUCCUUAAUUCAAAAGGUGCUGUCAAUGGGGGAUAUGCAAUGCAUAAGGGUGCUAGAUCUCCUGCUGGUUUAGCUAGCUCUCCGAGAGUCCUCUCCCGUGGCUGUGGUGCUUGGACGGGCACAUUUCUAGCUUGUAUUUCAGCUUUUACAGGUGCAGCAGGUGGUCCCGCCAUUGCUGGAUUUUCUGCCAUAACCAGAAAUUCAGUUUCAGGUGCAAAUUCAGCAGUAGUUGGUGCGGUGAUGGAAACUUCUGCUGGUGCAGAAAUUUCUGCAGCAGGGGCAGCAGUAGCUCUGUGAGAUGGUGUUGUUGAUGAAGAUGAUUUUGAGGCUUGGUUCCUCAAAUUUGCUUGCUUCCUUAAGCUCUUGGCAGUCUUUUCAAUCUCUGGGUCGUAAAGAAGAUUGUCUUUACGGCCAGACCUGGUCAUAAAGGGAAAAUACGUUAGUUUAAAUCAAUUCCCUGGCAACGGCGCCAAUUUUUGAUAGGCGGUUGUCGAAGCCGUAAAAAAUAAACCUAUUAAACAAUCAACAAUAAACUUGUAGAUAGUGGCAAUAGGGUCGAACCACAGGGAAUUGACACCAAAGAUUUUCCUAAUAAUGACUAGGUAAAGUAAAUAACAAGUAAAUAAAAGAGGGGGGGUUUUGUUUUGAUGAUAAUGAAUUAAAUGGAAAAAGAAAGCAAUAACUUAAAGAGAUGAGAAUUUCAAUAAGAGAAAAACUUCUAGUUGAAGUAUGGAUCUUUUUCAGAUUGUUUAGAAUUGAUCAUUGAUUCUUUAAUACUCCUAUUUAUCUCAAUAAAUUAGUUUAGGAUGAGGAAGACGCUUCUCACAAUCCAAAUUCCUCCUUAGUUCUAGUUUGAUUAGGAAACGUUCGCUAAUCAAACACUAACCAACAAGUUGCCAAGGAACGUCCUUGGGGCAUUGUAGCAUCGAACAACUGCUGAUUGCAUUAAGACUUAGAGAAACCCAAUUCUAUUCUUGCCAACCGCGUGGUCAAGUUUAGAUUAUGCAAUUUGAUUAAAUGUGUAUUUGAAUAACCUAAGCAAUUACGAACCUAAAUCAUUCAAACAAUAUUACUUAAGCAAUUUAAAAUUAAUGGGCCCUUAUUGAUUCUAAAAGCCAAGUAAUAAUUAUGGAAAGCCCAAAUUGCAUAAAUAUUGAAAAUAAAUAGAAGUUUGACAAUGGAUAUUAAAUCUCCCAAUUCAUCACAAAAUCUAAAAUUCACCAACUUCAACUAAAAAAGAAAGGAAAUUAGCCACUCAUGGUGGACUAAAUACACAAAAGAUGGAAAGAAAAGAAAAAGGAAGGAAGCUGCAGAAUUUCUGGAGAGUUUCUGACGAGUUGAGUUGCUCCCUAGAUGCCUUUGCUAGUUUGGAGGCUCUCCUUUUAUAGCUGAAGAAUUCUAUCCAUCUAGGGUUUUGAAAUCCCUUUUUGAUUUGGUGUUUGACUCCUCUUUUGAUGUUGAAUUUAAUUGCAAUUGGAAUUCCUUGGAUGAGAAACUCUUUCGUGGCUCUUGGUUUUAUGUUGGCAGUGAUUGGGUUGGAUUUGGACUUCUGAAAAUUCGGAUUUCUGUUUUCUGCCCAACUUCCCACUCUGCUGUCAGUUUCUGCUGUCAAAGUGAUUUGUCCGGUGAUUUGACCAGUUUCUUCAAGUGAUUGGGCAAAUCACUGACCCGAUCACUUUUUCUGUGAGUCAGUCCAAUUUUUGCUCUCUGUCUGUUUCUGCUGUCGAAGUGAUUUGCCCGGUGAUUUGAGUGUUUUGGGCAAAUCGCUGACCCAAUCACUAUUCUGUGAAUUUCUGCACUUUUUCUCCAAUUUUCCAAUUUCUUCCUUUUCUGUAAAAAUAAGAUAAAAAUCAUAAAUUAAAUUAAAAAAUGUGUAAAUAAACAAUAAUAAAUAUGAUAAAAAUGUGGCUAAAUUAAGCUUGAUCAAAUACACUGAUAUAUUCGGUACAAAUAACGCCUUCUUGAAGUAGACACCUAAAACAUGAAUUCCCCGGUUAUGAAGAACAAGCUCUAGAUAAAUCUUAUCAACCUAAUUUGCAUCAGCAGAUGGAUAAUUCUAUAGCAUAAAAAUUUAAGAAAAUAGCUCACUUCAGUUCUCGGCCAUAAUAUUUCACUUGGUGGCUUUCGCCUAAAAAUGUGUUAAACCAAUUUCAUCUGAAGAUGCUUCUUGCUCAAGAACUUACCAUGAGUAGCACAUGUUUUCAUCAGUCGUGGAAGAAGCAGCUGAGGAUCCCGUACUGACAUACAAUUGAACAAUAAUAUCUGCUUGGAUAUACACAAAACUUCAAGCUCAGUAUACACCCAGUGUUUAACCCAUAAUCAAGUUCAAAAAUUCAUAAUGCAUGUGUGCAAGCCCAUAGAAACAGAUGAAAGAAUCUUUUUAACAAGUGUACAUAGUUUAACAACAAAAUGCUAUUAGACGGUCAUGUUUAUGGACCAGUAAAUGAUUGCAGAGGUAAAUAAGAACUUAAUUCUUCUUGCUCUUGAUGCAAAAGAAAAGGUCAGGCAGGACCUUGGCCCCAUGAACAGGCUUGGUAGCGAGUAGUGACCUUCACGUUAACUAUAUAUGUGAAGGACUUCCAUUCAAAUUACUUAAUUUUUUUUAUGAAGUACAUUAUUUUGCCAACUCAUAUAGAACCUACUUCAUUUCUGCUUUCUGAGGCAUUUUCCUUGGCAUGCAAUUCAGAGUUUUUAAAUGACAAAUGCAACUUAUGUCCAAAGAAAUGGUUCUAUGCUAGCGUUGUCAGAGCUUUCUAAGUAUCAAACAUGCCAACCCAUGCGCAUGUGUGCGUCAAACCACCAUCUAAAGGAAUCCUAAGUCACCCCAUCUACUCUGCGAUGCCAGUACUCAUUGAGGGAUUAACCUUACCUAACCACCUAAACAACUGUCUUCUUGCAGAAACCUAUUUAAUUUCAACUUCAAUUUGCAUCUUCAUCUACCAGAUCCAGAAAAGCAGGAUAAGUAACAAGGUAUAGACUUCCAUAAGUACCUGCAUGAGAUUUUUCCCAGAUUUUCCAUUAUGGUACUUGUCAACACAUUCAAGCAUGGAUUGAAAAUUGUUCUGUGAUGGACAAUUCAAGGUGUUUUGUGGGUAGUCAUCUUUAAUGGCAAGAGAAAACCAUCUCGCACAUACUUCCAUGCUUUCUGGACUAUGGGCUCCAUCAAAAUAAAACACAAGAUCUCCAUCGCUCUCAUUGUUGAUACAACGAUCGGGAACAAUUUGAGCUCGCCCUUGCAGACAGGCUGUUGUUAGCCCUUUAAUAAACUGCUCAGGUAGUGAGCUCUGUUCCAUGCAGAUAACUUUAAGAAGAUGUUAUCAAGUAAAACAAAGCUUGCAAAGAGAAACAUGUACAUAACUUACGGUUUGCUCCAAGUAGGAGAUUUCAAGGUGAUCAGUCCUUUGAAGCCAUUUAGAAGAUAGUGCAACAGCAAGACCAGCAUUUAUAUACUGGUGCUCACCUUCAAGACCAAGUUUUAGACCAUUCAGCAAGUUGGAGUCUAAUGGUGGCGCCACUUGAAGAGGUACCUGCAAAAAACAUGUUUUCCUGAGUAAUACGUAGAAGGCUGUAACUUGAUCCUUUGCUAUACUGCAUAAAUGAGAUAACUUUGCCCUAUUAAGGAAACCAUUGCAGCAAGUUUUUGUGUGGACCAAUGAAUUCCCAAUUACAGGAAAGUUAUGUGGUGAUUUUCUUCAGAAAAACAGAGCACAUAGUCAAGGACUUUUUGGACACAUAGAAGAGAUUUCUGAUAUGAUAAAAGUCUCAAACUCUCAUAUAUGAGGCCAUAAUUUACCAAUGCUUAAGCUAUCAGAGAACUAAAUGCAUCUGUGGCUUGAGAGAAGAAGUAGACUGAUAAAAGCUUAUUACUUCAACCUGAUUGUUUAACGACUAAUAAGAACUCUAGUUUAAACACAAAAUUAAAUUCACAAUUUAUAAUGAUUGAUACGGAUCCAAUAGGACAAAUUUCUAACAAUGGUGUGGAGCAAACUUAUAUCAUUCCAAUGGAUCGAAGAGUAGUUCAAAAUCAUAUUCAUAUAAUCCAUAUAUAUUUGGGGCGUGCUUUAAUUCAUAUGGGACAGAUUUAGUGCAACACUUGCAAUCAUAGGCUGAGGGAGCCUAAUCAAACCUAUGGGCUAAAACUACAUAAAGGAAAGCCUAAAGUGAAGAUCAAGUAAGGCUUUUGUGAAGAUUCAAAACUUUGUUAUGAUGGGCUUACUAGUUUUAUUAUUUAAACACUUGUUUUAUUUUAGUUUUGUUUGGGCUUGUAUUCUGGCCAUAUUUUAUCUUUUAAGUUUUAGAGUGUUGGGCCAUGUUGUGGGCUUAUAUUUUAAUACCUAUGUGUUAUUUUAGUGUGUGAUUAGGCCUGGGUCUUAUGUGUUUAAGUCAGGCCCAAGAAGAGUGUCUUAGGGUUUUAUUUGUUUUUCUCCUUACUAUAUAAGGAUAAGAAACAAUUGUAAGAGGGAGCUUCUAAUCAAAUUUUCAGAAUUAUUUUCAUGCCUUUGGCGUGUAUUGCUUUGAGUGAGAGUAAGGAUUUGCUUUCAUCAAUUGCACCAGGAAUCUUGGCUAACUUAUCAACUAUUCGUUGUGGCGUUUGUCGGAUUCUCAUCUAAAUCCUUCAAUCAUUGGUGUUUCAGCUUCUCUAAGUGUGGGGUGCCAUAGGAGGUGGGUUUAUCAUAUCUUUGGAUUCCAUAUCUACUUGUGCGUGUGGGUUUGAGGCUUGUGCCAUAGAGAUUUCUGAUAUGAUAAAAGUCUCAAACUCUCAUAUAUGAGGCCAUAAUUUACCAAUGCUUAAGCUAUCAGAGAACUAAAUGCAUCUGUGGCUUGAGAGAAGAAGUAGACUGAUAAAAGCUUAUUACUUCAACCUGAUUGUUUAACGACUAAUAAGAACUCUAGUUUAAACACAAAAUUAAAUUCACAAUUUAUAAUGAUGGACCAAUUCACAUAAGACUGAGAUGAGAACGUCAUGAAUGUUGACUGGCAAACAUCGAUCUUUAUCAUUUGAACUUUGAAGCCAAAGUUUCAGCAAGCGUUUCUUAAGUUAUGUAGAAUUGUAGAUAAUAAAACUAAGUGGUGCAUGAACUGUGCUACUUACAUCUCGCUUAGAAGCCUUCUCUUCAAGCACAUGCAUUGCUUCAUCAGGUUGAGGCACUGUGAAUGGUGGAACCCCAUGCUGUAUUCAAAAGAGGGAACAUGAAUUAAAAUGAAAAAUUAAAGAAAAUAACAGUAAUGGUUAGUCAAACUGGAUUAAGCUAAGAAGCAAAACCCUUGGCAUAGAUUAUAUGCCUGAAUGAGUAGUAGCUACAAAGAACACCUUAAAGAUGCCAGCCUUCUCUCCAGCAAUUUCUCCGAGAGUAUUUCCUGUCAAAGCAUUAUGUUAUGAGAUCUAAAAAGGUUUGGAAAUGCAUGACACUAAACUCUAAUACAAGUCUAUCUGCAGAGUAUGUGAAUGUGACAAACUCUGGAUUGAGGAUACGGUAAUUAAAUAAUGUCAACCAAUUAUUUAGGGACUUUUUUAGUUCUGAAAUUAACUAAAAAUUAACUAAAUGUUAAACAACUAUGAGCAAUCACCUAACUUAAAAUAACUAGAUGAACUAACCAAGAAUCUCCAUGUGAUCAUAUCCAAGGGAAGAGAUACCACACACAACAGGUGUUUGAACCUGAAAUAUGAUGCUGUGUCAACUCACUUUAGUUGUAAGACAGAAAUAAAAGGAUUUCCAGCAUGAAGAUCUCAACAUAAAGCAGUAUUUGUUUCUCAAUAAACUGCUUCUUUCAAAUAAGUAUUACACAUACCACAUUUGUUGCAUCAAACGUUCCGCCUAAUCCAACCUCCAAAAUAGCAACAUCUACCUGCAUAUGUAGAUUUAGUAAAUCUGAAUCCGAUCUUCAUCAGAAAUAAAACUCAUACAUGUGCAAAGUCCAAAUAGAGAGAGGACGUUAAUGAAGUUGAAAACUGUGCAUAUCAAACCUGCUCUGCUGCAAAUAUCUUGAAGGCAAGCAAGGCGAGAAAGCGGAAGUAAGUAGGCAUUGGUAUAUCUUCAGUAGUUUUUUCCUACACAAAAACUUUCAAUUGAACACCAGAGAAAUCAUUGCCCACAGAUAAACACGUACAAUUUCAUGCAUGCAUACACACACAUAGAGAUUUUAAGUAAAAUAGAGAACAUCUUUUCCAUCCAUGAUUAUACAUGAUAUGAUAGCAUGACGUUCAAGAAAAUGAAUAAGUGGUUUUCUUCAGCCAUUAUGUUUAGCUACAGUUUCACCAUUAUCUUAUGAUAAUAAAUUCUGCAGGUACAUUGAAGUGUAACCUAUAUCCAUAAAAGUAUACAGAAGUGAACCACUUAAGAGAAGAUAAAAUUGAUAUCAUAAGAUAUCAAUUACAGAAAUAGAAAAAGUAUCAUAGAAAUCAUCUUCCCUGCAAAUAUCCAUCAAACCAAAUGUUUUUACAUCCCUCACUAUCCCCAACCACAACACAGAAAGGCAGCAAGCAAAGAAGAACAGCUUUCCGAUUGUAUAUUAUAUCCCUUAUCGCCAAAUCUUCCCCUACAAUUGAUGAAAACUUGAAAUCUGAACCCAAUGAUAAUCUAAGAUUACCAAGUAACCCGUGUAUACAACAUUAUGCUCUUCAUGGUGGCACUGAUACAGAGCAAUAUACAAUCAUGGAUUACCACCAGUCCUUCGCUCUUGUGCAUAAAGCAAUAAGUUACCAUAAUCUUUAUUUUCUUGGAUUAAAUUAUUAAACUUUUCAGCUCUUUCCAUGUCAAAAAAAUUGCUACUUCAAUAGGAACCUGCUUAUGUCAAUCCAAGUAAACUAUUGAACAAAACCAUAUUCAAUACAAUUUUCUCUUCCUCAGUUGGGACCCUCACAAACUAAAUAACUAGAAAGAAUCAACCUUAUUCAUAUUCUUAAUUACACAUCCAAUUAACAUAUGCAAUCAUGUAGAUAUCUGAAAUAUCAUAUUACUCUUCAGAUUCCUUUCUAAUUAAUCUAGACAUCAUUCACUCAAAGCAACUGAUUCAAUGCAAACCAAAUAAAAUUUUAAACUGAAAACAGUAUUUUUUUUAAAAAAAAAAAACAGACAACAGAAACAAAUCUUGUUCUUUUCAAUAAUGAAAUCUGAGCAGCCAAGGUUUGGUUUGGUCUAACUUCAAGCAAAAUGGAACUGACUCUUUCAAUUCCUUUCCGGAACUAAAGUAAAUCAUCAACACUUCCAUCGUUUCAUGGAACAUGAGCAGCAAAACUCUUCCAUUAAAAGUUCAAUUGCCUCAGAUUUCUCACAAUUUGUUAAAUAACUUACCUAUACACCACAAUUUGAUGUUAGGCAUAUUGUACAUCAAGUCAAGCAUCCACAUACUAAAAUGCAUUUCUAACGAAUCUUAGCUGCAUCAAGGUAGGAAGAGUUAACAAAAAAAUUAUGUUACCUUCAGUCUAUCAUAACACCACCAAAAGUAUGCCAAAAACUUUUCUUCACAAAUGUCCUCACUGCAACAGUCAACAAGAAACCACAAAAUCUUAAACUAGGAUGAAAAUGAUGUACAAGUACAACCAUCCAAAGGCAAAAUAUUAUCACCUAAAGAACGGAAACUGAGUGGAAAUUCAAAUACUGUAAGAAAAUCAUAUUUAUUUUGUUUAAGGAACAUGGACAAGUGUGCCUUUCUCCUAUGUACACCAAAAUAAAGGUUCUUUUUCUCUCCUCUCUGGCUCUUUCAUUCUCUCAAAUGGAGACUAACAAGAUCAUUAGAGUAGGCACGAUAAGAACAUAUUUAACACUCACUUAAUGGCCUCUCUCCAUAUUCUGCAGGAAUUCAUCACCAGAGAGGACUGGCAAGUUUCAGAGAUUUAUCAUUUGGCACCAUCUGUGCAAAUUGAACCCAUGACCACAUGAACAUGGUGACACCUAAAUCUAAGAAAUAAAACUAAAAAUGGAAAAGAUAUUGUAGUAUUUAAUUCAUACUAUAUGUGAUUAUAAACAAUAAUGGGAGUAUAAGCGCUGAUCUCUUAUUGUUAAUGUGUGAGACCUUAAAGAUUAUCAUUAAUCUUAUUAAUAAUUUUAGGACUUUGAUAUGGUAUUUGAGACUUAAUUUAAUAUUUUUUAUUUUAAGAUAUUAUCAAAUAAUUAUGAAUGAUGCGAACUGACGAAAUAUUUCUACAAAAAUAAAUUGAAUUAAGAUUGAGAGUAUCAAGAUGUAAGGAAUACCAUAUAGACAUAUCACAUUAGUUUUGUAUUCAUUGAUCGGUCAAUUAUAUUUAUCUGUGAAUAGAUUAUAAUUAUGGACAUAUAAAAAAAUAAUUAAAAUCAUAUGGAUAUUAAAUAUGAUAAAUAAUUUAGGGUAUUAUAUAUAUUGUAAUUCUUUUGAAUUUCAUCAUUCGAGCAGUUAUAUUGACCUAACAGAAAUAGAAUAUUUGAACUUUUUAAGUAUGCAUAGGUCAUAGUCCAUUUGUUAAGUAUUAAAAUUGCAAUGUCCAUAUCAUCAUACUCUAUUAUGUGUGAGUGAUAAAUUAAAAAAAAUUAUACACCUAAGAUAAAGCCGAAAAAAAUAAAAGUCAAAAUAAAAUUUUAUAUAUCAUUGAUAAUAGCCAAUUUUAAUUUAUUUUAUAUAAAUUUUAUUUUUUAAAAAUAUGAUUUAAAAUUUAAAUCUUUACUAGUUAUAUGGUAAAACGUCAUAUACUUUCAUCUCAUUCAGAUUAUAAAUCAAGAAACUCUUUAUCCUCUUAUAAAAAAUUGCUUCUCACUCUCUGCUUAAAAAAUACGGUCUUUGUCUUCUAGUUAGUUUAUUUUCUUGUGAAUGUCGAACUAUCUUUUAAUUGCAUCGAGUUGAAACAAAAAGUGUCGGUUGUUGAAACUUGAAGGAGUAUUUUGAAUUCUUAUAAAAUACACUAUAAUUCUACGUAACUCUUGUGAAAAUAUAUUAAUGAUUUAUUAUAUCAAUUACAUAUGAAUUAUGUGAUACAAAUGAAAGUGAAAUGCGGUUGUUAUUUAUUUUAUUUUAAUUCUAAAAAAUUAAUGGAUUUUUUAUUAAAAAAAAAUUAAUGGAUUUUCGAACAGUAAAAUAAUAAUAUCUUUUCUUAUGUGGUCAUAUUUGUUUGCUCAUAUUUCUUACUUCUUACAAAUAUUUAAAACUCAUUUCUCUACUUUCUGGUGCUAUACUUUCUUCUUCCUUCGUCCUCUCAAGAUUUUUAACUACUCAAUAAAUUCUCAGCUUUUAAUUGAUUUAUCUUUCAUCUCUCACCCAUUGUAUAUUCCAUAUUCUACAUAUCUUUAUGCAACUGGAUAACGGGAUGUGUUCUUCACACGGAAAUAGUAAGCAGGGUUUUAACAAAUGAAGAAAUUUCCUCUGUUUUUUCUUUUUUUUUUUUCCCUAGUUUUUCAUAAAAACUCCAGUAACAUUCAGUUUGCUAACUUCUUGUAGCAGUUUCAAGAGUUGGUCAAAUCGUCGUUAUAAGCUUCGUUUCAAUCAUUGUUACAGAGAAGCAAAUAAAACAACUGACUUGCUUGCUAACUUGGCUGUCCAUUUGCCCAUUGGUUUGCAUCUGUUCAUGACUCCUCUGAGAGAGCAGAUUGAGGUUCUUAUUGAGAUAGGCAGGGGGUGACUUCUCUAAAUACUGAAAUCUUUUGGUUGCAGGCAGGCCUGUAUAUAAGCGAAGUGCAAAAAGAUAAUCGGUUUAGUUGAGAAACCAUUAGUACAGUUUAUGAGAAAUUAGUAUUACUGUUAGAAAAAUGAAAAAGAAAAGAUGAGAAAAAGAGUAAGACUAUCUAUGUAAAUCUAUAACAUGAAUACGUAAAAUUUUAUAUACAUCUCGUUAUAAUUUUACAUCGCAGGUCCGUAUGUUUCCCUUAAUAAUGCUCUGACAGGAAAGCUUUGUCGUGACUGGAAUUAUUGUUCUUUGUCGAUUUUUCUUUUUUCCAAGCUUUCUCCAUCAAUCACGGGAAUGAUAACAUUAUGAAAUCGGUCUCCGAGAUUUUUUUUUCAUUGGGAAACUGUCUCCGAGAUUAAGAUUAUAAAACUUCAGCCCGGGAUUAGAGGCCCAACUCCACUGUCUCGAGUUGAGCGUUGUUCAUCCAAAAUUUUACGGACAAAAGUUUAUGAUUGUUUCUGGUCGGGUAAAGAAGAAAAAACAAUGGCAGAGGUUGUCGUUGCUUUAGUGUCCAAAGAAUCGCCGACUUGCUUACUCAAGAAUUAACUUUUCUGAGAGAUGUGAAGGAAGAUGUUGAGAGUCUGCAAGGAGUACUGAGACGGAUCCAGUCUUUCUUGAAGGAUGCAGACUGCAAGCAAUAUCAAGAUGAGCGUGUUUGGAACUGGGUUGCUGAAAUCAGAGGCGUAGCUUAUGAUGCUGAGGAUGUAAUAGAAUCCUAUAUUCUUAAGAUUGCAACACGUAGAGUAGAAGGAGCACGUGGAAUCACCAAGAAGGUUAGCUCUAUUUUCACAAAAGUUCCUCGUCUCCGUGUGAUCAAGAGCCGGAUCGAAUCCAUCCGAAACAAGACUCAGGCAAUUUCUGCUAGUAUGCAGACUUUUGACAUCAAACUUGAUGCUGAAAGAGCGGUUCCAGGUUCUGCAAGUGAGAUGCAACAACGACUGAGAAGAUCCUAUCCACAUGAUGAGGACGACGUGAUCAGCUUUCACGCAAUCAGGAGGGAUAUUAACGCUCAGUUGAUGAUGGAAGUAGAGCGACGCCAGGUUGUUUCCAUAGUAGGAAUGGGGGGACUUGGUAAAACAACUCUCGCCAAGAACAUAUACAAUGACAUUAAUGUGAAGCAACACUUUGAUUGUUGUGCUUGGGUCUUCAUAUCUCAACAAUACACUGCAAGAGAUCUGUUGGUAAGAAUCUGGAUUGAUGUUGCGUCUACUACAGAUAAGUCAAAGUUGGAACAAUACACUGCAAGAGAUCUGUUGGUAAGAAUCUGGAUUGAUGUUGCGUCUACUACAGAUAAGUCAAAGUUGGAAGCAAUAAAGGAGGAAAAGCUUUUUGCAUCUACUAAUAUGGAGUCCAUGAAAGAGGAACAAUCGCUGAAAUCCAUGUUGGAAAGGAUGGAAGAGGAGGAUUUGGUUAAAAAGCUCUAUAAAGUGUUAGAGCAAAAGCGAUACUUGGUGGUGCUCGAUGAUAUUUGGAAUACUGAAGCAUGGGAUUGUUUAAAACGAGCUUUCCCAAAUGGGAAGAAAGGAAGCAAAAUUUUGUUCACAACCCGUAACAAAAGCCUUGCUUCUUAUGCUGAUCCGUCGAUAACUCCAAUGGAACCGCCAUUUUUGACAAAUAAUGAAGCAUGGGAGCUUCUCAGGAGAAAAGCAUUUCCCGUCGAGCAGAGUUGCCCACGAGAUCUUGAGAUUUUGGGGAGGGAAAUGGUGAAAAAAUGUGGAGGAUUGCCCUUAGCUGUUGGUGUACUUGGUGGGAUAUUGGCAACAAAAAAAUCUUUGAAUGAGUGGAAGACAGUUCAGAAAAACGUUAAUGCACACUUUGCUAUGUUGGAACGAAAAAAUCAAUAUGGAGGAGUGUAUGGGAUAUUAGCUAUGAGCUACCAUGAUUUGCCUUAUCACUUGAAGCCAUGCUUCCUCUAUCUUUCCCAAUUUCCAGAGGAUUGGGAGUUUCACAAGAGGACACUAAUUCGAAUGUGGAUUGCUGAAGGCUUUAUAGCACAAUCGCAGGAUUCAGCAAACCAAACAAUGGAAGAUGUGGCUGAAAUAUAUUUGGAAGAGCUUGUAAGCAGGUGCAUGGUUCAAGAAACUGAAAGGGACCACACUGGAAUUCAUGUCAAAAUUUGCCGCAUCCAUAGUCUGAUGCGAGAUACCUGUAUAUCAAAGGCAGGAGAUGAGCAUUUCGCUGGAGGCAUUGAACACCGAGACGAGUUUGCAACAAACACUAAAUCUCGCUUUUUGAAGUCCGCAACGAGCCAGCCACGAAGAAUUGCUGUUCAUCCUCGUAUCGAUGGAGACAAUGCUGGUAAGAGAUUCUAUGUGCCGUUGGUAAAAUGUGGUGAUCCACAUCUUCGUUCCCUUCAUUACUUUGUUGAUCAAGACAAAUAUCGUAUGACUAGGGGGCAAGAAAUUUACAUUCUCAGCCAUUUUCGACUGCUUAGAAUCUUAAAUCUUGAGAAUAUAUAUCUGAGCAAAUAUCAUGUACCUGGAGAUAUUGGCAAUUUGAUUCACUUAAGAUAUCUUGGAUUGAGAAAUACUGGAUUAUGGGUAACAACGAAGUAUCUGUUUGUGGUCUCCACUUCUUUACCACCAUCCAUAGGUAACUUGAAGAGUUUGUACACCCUUGACGUACGAAAAAAUUCUUUGGAAACCUUACCUGAUGUGCUGUGGAAAUUAGAAAAUUUGAGACAUUUGUUAGUAGAGCCUGAAGUUGAUGGGCAAUUGCGGCUGGAUACAUUAACACACUUGGAGACUUUGAAGUGGGUACGAGCUAAGAAUCUAAUUGCAAACAAUGCAUUGUGCAAAUUGACUAAUGUUCGAAAUUUAGGAAUAUAUUUCAAAGAAACACAGGAAGUGGAUGUUGUCCUAAAAUCUCGCAUUUUUGAACAAGGCCGUCUUAGUAGCUUGAAGAUGUCGAUCUCAGAAGAGGGUUCAUUUCCAAAUUUGGAAUCACUUUCACGUUGUGAUCAUCUUACGAAACUAGAGUUACAAGGAAAAAUACUAGAAGAUCCCGAAGAAUCACUCCGUCACAAUCUGAAAUUCCUGCCAGAAAGCCUCACCAAGUUAACUUUGUCUCAUUCUCUGUUAAAGCAAGAUCCAAUGUGUAUUCUGGGAAAUAAGUUGCAUAAUUUGAGGUUUCUGUUCCUGCAUACAUUAUCUUACGAGGGUUCUGAACUUGUGUGCUCUGCGAAUGGAUUUCCGAGACUUGAGAUUCUUACAAUUGAAGAGUUAGAAUUAGAAGAAUGGCAAAUAGAGGAAGGUGCAAUGCCCUGUCUCAGGACUUUAAAAAUAAAGGCUCUAGAUAAACUGAGGAUGAUUCCAGAAGGUUUCAAGUUCCUCGUUAGCCUCCAAGAAUUGAAAAUCAUCGACAUGGCAGCAUUUGCAAAGAGGGUUCAAGUGAUUGAUGGAGUAGAAGGAGAGGAUUUUGACAAGGUGCAGCACAUAGGCAUCCAUGUCAUUUGACUAUUCAUGGGGAUGCAAGGUAAUUUUAUUUUAACUUUUUGACUUAGUUAGCACAUAAGUCUUAAUUUAAGCUCAAAUUACCUGAAAAUUCAAGAAAUUAUAUUUUUUAUUUUUGCACUAAAUCAAAAAAUCAAGAGAAAAAAAAGAAAUUUCCAAUAUUACCCAUGAGUUAAAUGAGAUAUGCAAGUUUAACUAAAAGAAUCUUUCUUUUUGGUCAUAGGUUGAUGAAUUGGAAACGGACUCGGAAGACUCGAUGGAGGAGUGACCAUGUUGCUGAAAGUGCCAAAGUUACCGUCUUCACAUCACAAGCUUUGUUCUUGUGUUGCAUAAUUGAUCACAUCCAUCUGAUCCUACUCCAAUACUGUCACUGUAAAAUUUUCUUUUCACGUUGUAAUGCAAAUUCCUGACAGAUUUUUACUUGUUAUCAGAGUGGUGAUUUUAAAUUUUUGAUGAUAAUAGAGAGAUGAACAAUGAAUCUCAUGCAACGGAUGGAUAUAGGUUAAAUAGAGACACAGCUGAACAGUGAUGGACCUUUCUAAAAAUGUUAAUAUGGAAGUGUGUGUAUGCGUAUAUAUUGAACUUCUUGUAAUAUUUUAUUCAUGAAAUAAAAUAGCAUUUUUCCUUUCUUCUCAAUUCUUAUUUUUGUACAAUUUUUAAAUUUGAUUAGAUAUAUAUAAUUUUUAAAUUAAAUAUUUUUUAUCUAAUGAAAAACAAUCUUUAGAAGUUAUUUGCGAGUUAGGUUUCCACCUAUUUAAGAAUUUAAAAACCUCCAAACUAAGUUGAUGGAUUAAGAAAAUUUUCCUUUAAAGAAUUUUUAAUAUUUCAAACAAGAUUUUUCUUUCAAUAAUAAAAAAAUUAAUAACAAAAAAAAAAUCAUAUAUUUUUUAUUUUAUNNNNNNNNNNNNNNNNNNNNNNNNNNNNNNNNNNNNNNNNNNNNNNNNNNNNNNNNNNNNNNNNNNNNNNNNNNNNNNNNNNNNNNNNNNNNNNNNNNNNNNNNNNNNNNNNNNNNNNNNNNNNNNNNNNNNNNNNNNNNNNNNNNNNNNNNNNNNNNNNNNNNNNNNNNNNNNNNNNNNNNNNNNNNNNNNNNNNNNNNNNNNNNNNNNNNNNNNNNNNNNNNNNNNNNNNNNNNNNNNNNNNNNNNNNNNNNNNNNNNNNNNNNNNNNNNNNNNNNNNNNNNNNNNNNNNNNNNNNNNNNNNNNNNNNNNNNNNNNNNNNNNNNNNNNNNNNNNNNNNNNNNNNNNNNNNNNNNNNNNNNNNNNNNNNNNNNNNNNNNNNNNNNNNNNNNNNNNNNNNNNNNNNNNNNNNNNNNNNNNNNNNNNNNNNNNNNNNNNNNNNNNNNNNNNNNNNNNNNNNNNNNNNNNNNNNNNNNNNNNNNNNNNNNNNNNNNNNNNNNNNNNNNNNNNNNNNNNNNNNNNNNNNNNNNNNNNNNNNNNNNNNNNNNNNNNNNNNNNNNNNNNNNNNNNNNNNNNNNNNNNNNNNNNNNNNNNNNNNNNNNNNNNNNNNNNNNNNNNNNNNNNNNNNNNNNNNNNNNNNNNNNNNNNNNNNNNNNNNNNNNNNNNNNNNNNNNNNNNNNNNNNNNNNNNNNNNNNNNNNNNNNNNNNNNNNNNNNNNNNNNNNNNNNNNNNNNNNNNNNNNNNNNNNNNNNNNNNNNNNNNNNNNNNNNNNNNNNNNNNNNNNNNNNNNNNNNNNNNNNNNNNNNNNNNNNNNNNNNNNNNNNNNNNNNNNNNNNNNNNNNNNNNNNNNNNNNNNNNNNNNNNNNNNNNNNNNNNNNNNNNNNNNNNNNNNNNNNNNNNNNNNNNNNNNNNNNNNNNNNNNNNNNNNNNNNNNNNNNNNNNNNNNNNNNNNNNNNNNNNNNNNNNNNNNNNNNNNNNNNNNNNNNNNNNNNNNNNNNNNNNNNNNNNNNNNNNNNNNNNNNNNNNNNNNNNNNNNNNNNNNNNNNNNNNNNNNNNNNNNNNNNNNNNNNNNNNNNNNNNNNNNNNNNNNNNNNNNNNNNNNNNNNNNNNNNNNNNNNNNNNNNNNNNNNNNNNNNNNNNNNNNNNNNNNNNNNNNNNNNNNNNNNNNNNNNNNNNNNNNNNNNNNNNNNNNNNNNNNNNNNNNNNNNNNNNNNNNNNNNNNNNNNNNNNNNNNNNNNNNNNNNNNNNNNNNNNNNNNNNNNNNNNNNNNNNNNNNNNNNNNNNNNNNNNNNNNNNNNNNNNNNNNCUUUGUUCUUGUGUUGCAUAAUUGAUCACAUCCAUCUGAUCCUACUCCAAUACUGUCACUUUAAAAUUUUCUUUUCACGUUGUAAUGCAAAUUCCUGACAGAUUUUUACUGUGUUAUCUGAGUGUUGAUUUUAAAUUUUCGAUGAUAAUAGAGAGAUGAUCAACAAAUCUUAUGCAAAGGAUGGAUAUAGGUUGAAUAGAGACACAGGUGGACAGUGAUGGACCUUCCUAAAAAUGUUAAUAUGGAAGUGUGUGUAUGUGUAUCAGAUCAUGAACUCUGCAUCUUUUCACACCUAUUCCAGUGUGAUCUCUUUCGCUUACUUGAACCAUACACCUACUUGUCAGCUCUUCCAAAUAUUCUUCACCCACAUCUUCCAUCGUCUCUUCUUCUCCACCUAUUGAUGGUUGCAAUAUGAAGCCUUCGGCAAUCCACAUUCGAAUCAAUUCCCUUUUCCCAAACUCCCAGUCCUCUGGAAAUUGAGAAAGAUAGAGAAAGCAUGGCUUCAAAUGGAAAGGCAAGUCGUCGUAGCUCAAACCUAAUAUCCCAUACACUCCUCCAUAUUGAUGUCGUUGUUCCCACUUGAUAAAGUGUGCAAUAAUAUUUUCAUGCACACUAUUCCACUCCUUUAAUGACUUCUUAGUUGCCAAUAGGCCUCCAAGUACAACAAUUGCUAAUGGCAAUCCUCUGCAUUUUUUCACCAUUUCCCUUCCUAAUUUCUCAAAUUCUGGUGGGCAACCAUCCUCUAUAAGAAUAUCUUUUGGGAAUGUUUUCCUUUUAAGAAGUUCCCAGCCUUCGUCGUCCUUCAACAGUGGUGGUUCCACCACUGAGCUCUGUGGAUCAGCAUGAGAAGCGACCACCGUGUUUCGGGUGGUAAAUAAAACUUUGCUUCCUCUCUUACCAUUUGGAAAAGCAGGUUUCAAAUAAUCCCAGGCCUCAGUUGUCCAAAUAUCAUCAAGAACCACAAAGUAACGCUUCUCUAUUAACGUACUAUGAAGUCUUCUAAUCAGAUCUUCCUCUUUCAUCCUUUCCAACAAACACUUGAAUUCUUCAUCUUCCUUCAUCUUUCCCACCUUGGAUUUAAGUGGUUGUCCCCCUUUCAUAUCUUCCAAUAACUUUGCUUUAUCUUCGUUGGAUGCAGCAUCCAUAAGGAUUCGAACGACAACUUCCUUGACAGAGAAUUGCUGAGAUAUGAAGAUCCAAGAUUGGAAAUCGAAGUUUUGCUUCACAUCAACGUCAUUGUAUAUCUUCUUGGCAAGAGUGGUUUUGCCUAGCCCUCCCAUCCCCACUAUGGAAACAACACGGACUUGCUCUUCCUCCAUCAUCAACCGCGCUUUAAGAUCACUUAUUACAGCCUCCAAACAAAUGACAUACUCUUCCUCAGCAUGUGGAUCCGGUCUUCUGUAUCGUUGUUGUCUCUUAUAAUUAGUUCCUUCUCCCUCAACAAGUUGGAUGCCGUAGGUCUGCAUACUUUUGUUUAUAUCUUCCAUCUUAGAUCGGAUAUAUGUGAUCUGGGUUCCUAUUCUGUGGAGAUAGGAAGCCUUAGUGAACAUGAAAAAAGCCUUGUUAAUGAACCCGCGUACACCUUCUCCUCUACCCCUUGCAACUUU